GAGUUUGAUCAUGGCUCAGAUUGAACGCUGGCGGCAUGCCUUACACAUGCAAGUCGAACGGCAGCACGGGAGCUUGCUCCUGGUGGCGAGUGGCGAACGGGUGAGUAAUGCGUCGGAACGUAUCCUGGAGUGGGGGAUAACGUAGCGAAAGUUACGCUAAUACCGCAUAUUCUGUGAGCAGGAAAGCGGGGGACCUUCGGGCCUCGCGCUCUUGGAGCGGCCGAUGUCGGAUUAGCUAGUUGGUGAGGUAAAGGCUCACCAAGGCGACGAUCCGUAGCAGGUCUGAGAGGAUGAUCUGCCACACUGGAACUGAGACACGGUCCAGACUCCUACGGGAGGCAGCAGUGGGGAAUUUUGGACAAUGGGGGCAACCCUGAUCCAGCCAUGCCGCGUGAGUGAAGAAGGCCUCGG
rnacentral:rRNA from 1 species